UGACGCGUAGCACAAUGGCAGUGCGACCGGUUGUUACCCGGUUAGGUACAGGUUCGAGUCCUGUCGUGUCAGCUA
rnacentral:tRNA from 1 species